UACGGGGGGGGUAAGCGUUGUUCGGAAUUACUGGGCGUAAAGGGCUCGUAGGCGGCCAACUAAGUCAGACGUGAAAUCCCUCAGCUUAACUGGGGAACUGCGUCUGAUACUGGAUGGCUUGGAUUCGGGAGAGGAAUGCGGAAUUCCAGGUGUAGCGGUGAAAUGCGUAGAUAUCGAGAGGAACACCUGCGGCGAAGGCGGGUUGCUGGGCUGACACUGACGCUGAUGCGCGAAAGCUAGGGGAGCGAACGGG
rnacentral:rRNA from 1 species